rnacentral:rRNA from 1 species
GACGAACGCUGGCGGCGUGCUUAACACAUGCAAGUCGAACGGACAGGCCCUGCUUUUGUGGGGUGCUCGAGUGGCGAACGGGUGAGUAACACGUGAGUAACCUGCCCUUGACUUUGGGAUAACUUCAGGAAACUGGGGCUAAUACCGGAUAGGAGCUCCUGCUGCAUGGUGGGGGUUGGAAAGUUUCGGCGGUUGUGGAUGGACUCGCGGCUUAUCAGCUUGUUGGUGGGGUAGUGGCUUACCAAGGCUUUGACGGGUAGCCGGCCUGAGAGGGGGACCGGCCACAUUGGGACUGAGGGAGGGCGCAGACGCGUACGGGAGGCAGCAGGGGGGAAUAUUGCACAAUGGGCGGAAGCCUGAGGCAGCAACGUCGGGUGCGGGAUGACGGGCUUCGGGUUGUAAACCGAUGUCGCCUGUGACGAAGCGUGAGUGACGGUAAUGGGUAAAGAAGCACCGGCUAACUACGUG